AUUGAACGCUGGCGGCAGGCCUAACACAUGCCAGUCGAGCGGAUGAAGGGAGCUUGCUCCUGGAUUCAGCGGCGGACGGGUGAGUAAUGCCUAGGAAUCUGCCUGGUAGUGGGGGAUAACGUCCGGAAACGGGCGCUAAUACCGCAUACGUCCUGAGGGAGAAAGUGGGGGAUCUUCGGACCUCACGCUAUCAGAUGAGCCUAAGUCGGAUUAGCUAGUUGGUGGGGUAAAGGCCUACCAAGGCGACGAUCCGUAACUGGUCUGAGAGGAUGAUCAGUCACACUGGAACUGAGACACGGUCCAGACUCCUACGGGAGGCAGCAGUGGGGAAUAUUGGACAAUGGGCGAAAGCCUGAUCCAGCCAUGCCGCGUGUGUGAAGAAGGUCUUCGGAUUGUAAAGCACUUUAAGUUGGGAGGAAGGGCAGUAAGUUAAUACCUUGCUGUUUUGACGUUACCAACAGAAUAAGCACCGGCUAACUUCGUG
rnacentral:rRNA from 1 species